rnacentral:rRNA from 1 species
UCAAGACGUAUCCGAUGGACAACAGGUUUAGAUUCCUGUACCGCAUAUAAACAGAACUGUGGGGACGCAUGUGGAAAGCAUAAGCCGGGAAUGGAAAGACCGGUACAAGCGAGGUAGGUGUGUGACAGGCAAAUCCGUCAUAUAAGCCGAAGACGUGAUGUGGAGCGAAAUUUAGUAGUGAAGUAUGUGAGCCAUGUGCCGAGAAAAGCCGCUAUUGUUUUAUAUGUGCCCGUACCGUAAACCGACACAGGUGGAUGAGGAGAAAAUCCUAAGGCCGACGGAAGAAGCAUUGUUAAGGAAUUCGGCAAAAUGACCCCGUAACUUCGGGAGAAGGGGUGCCCACUGAAUGGUGGGCCGCAGAGAAUAGGCUCAAGCAACUGUUUAGCAAAAACACAGGUCUAUGCGAAACCGAAAGGUGAAGUAUAUGGGCUGACGCCUGCCCGGUGCUGGAAGGUUAAGAGGAGAGGUUAGCGUAAGCGAAGCUUUGAAUUUAAGCCCCAGUAAACGGCGGCCGUAACAAUAACGGUCCUAAGGUAGCGAAAUUCCUUGUCGGGUAAGUUCCGACCCGCACGAAAGGCGUAAUGAUUUGAGCACUGUCUCGACAAUGCAUCCGGUGAAAUUGAAGUACCAGUGAAGAUGCUGGUUACCCGCGCCAGGACGGAAAGACCCCAUGGAGCUUUACUCCAGUUUGAUACUGGGAUUCGGUACUGCACGUACAGGAUAGGUGGGAGACUGAGAACUAUGGACGCCAGUCUGUAGGGAGUCGCUGUUGGGAUACCACCCCUGUAGUACUGGGUUUCUAACCAUCUGCCGUGAUCCGGCAGUGGGACAAUGUCAGGCGGGGAGUUUGACUGGGGCGGUCGCCUCCGAAAGGGUAUCGGAGGCGCUCAAAGGUUCCCUCAGAAUGGUCGGAAACCAUUUGAAGAGUGCAAAGGCAGAAGGGAGCUUGACUGCGACACCGACGGGUGGAGCAGGUACGAAAGUAGGACUUAGUGAUCCGGUGGUAUAAAGUGGGAUUGCCAUCGCUCAACGGAUAAAAGCUACCCUGGGAUAACAUGCUUAUCACUCCCAAGAGUUCACAUCGACGGAGUGGUUUGGCACCUCGAUGUCGGCUCAUCGCAUCCUGGGGCUGUAGCAGGUCCCAAGGGUUGGGCUGUUCGCCCAUUAAAGCGGUACGCGAGCUGGGUUCAGAACGUCGUGAGACAGUUCGGUCCCUAUCCGGCGCGGGCGGAGGAUAUUUGAGAGGAGCUGUCCUUAGUACGAGAGGACCGGGAUGGACGGACCACUGGUGUAUCUGUUGUCGACCAACGGCAUGGCAGAGUAGCCAAGUCCGGAAGGGAUAAACGCUGAAGGCAUCUAAGCGUGAAGCCCCCCUCAAGAUGAGAUAUCCCUCCUUCGGGAGUAAGACCCCUUGAAGACUACAAGGUAGAUAGGGCAGAGGUGGGAGUGUGGCAACACAUGGAGCUGACUGUUACUAAUAGGUCGAGGGCUUGAU